rnacentral:rRNA from 1 species
AGAGUUUGAUCAUGGCUCAGAACAAACGCUGGCGGCGUGCCUAAUACAUGCAAGUCGAACGAGGAAAGCCUUCGGGUGAGUACUAGUGGCGCACGGGUGAGUAACACGUGAGUAAUCUUCCUUAGAGUGGGGGAUAACCAGUCGAAAGAUUGGCUAAUACCGCAUAAGACCACGGGGGCUGCGGCUCCUGAGGUAAAAGGUUCUUCGCUCUAAGAUGAGCUCGCGCAAGAUUAGCUAGUUGGUGAGGUAACGGCUCACCAAGGCAACGAUCUUUAACUGGUCUGAGAGGAUGAUCAGUCACACUGGAACUGAGACACGGUCCAGACUCCUACGGGAGGCAGCAGUAGGGAAUAUUGCACAAUGGAGGAAACUCUGAUGCAGCGACGCCGCGUGAGUGAUGAAGGACUUCGGUUCGUAAAGCUCUGUCGUAUGGGAAUAAGUUCUGAAUGUACCAUGCAAGAAAGGAUCGGCUAACUUCGUGCCAGCAGCCGCGGUAAGACGAGGGAUCCUAGCGUUGUUCGGAAUCAUUGGGCGUAAAGCGGAUGUAGGUGGCUUGGUAAGUCAGGUGUGAAAGCCCAGAGCUCAACUCUGGAUGUGCAUUUGAAACUGCUGAGCUUGAGUGCUAGAGAGGUUACUAGAAUACCUGGUGUAGUGGUGAAAUACGUAGAUAUCAGGUGGAAUACCGGAGGCGAAGGCGGGUAACUGGCUAGACACUGACACUCAAAUCCGAAAGCGUGGGGAUCAAACAGGAUUAGAUACCCUAGUAGUCC